rnacentral:rRNA from 1 species
ACAAGCGGUGGAGCACGUGGUUUAAUUCGAUGCAAACCGAAGAACCUUACCUGGGUUUGACAUGUACGUGGUACGGAUCUGAAAGGUAAAGGACUUACUCUUCGGAGUGAGAGCGUACACAGGUGCUGCAUGGCUGUCGUCAGCUCGUGUCGUGAGAUGUUGGGUUAAGUCCCGCAACGAGCGCAACCCUGCAUUCAGUUGCCAUCGGUAAGGCCGGGCACUCUGGAUGGGACUGCCGGCGACAAGCCGGAGGAAGUGGGGACGACGUCAAGUCAUCAUGGCCCUUAUGUCCAGGGCGACACACGUGCUACAAUGGCCGGCACAACGGGAAGCGAAGGGGCGACCCGGUGAGCGGAUCCCACAAAAGCCGGUCUCAGUUCGGAUUGCAGUCUGCAACUCGACUGCAUGAAGUUGGAAUCGCUAGUAAUCGUGGAUCAGCCAAGCCGCGGUGAAUACGUUCCCGGGCCUU